rnacentral:rRNA from 1 species
UACGAAGGGGGCGAGCGUUGUUCGGAAUUACUGGGCGUAAAGGGCGCGCAGGCGGCCUUAGAAGUCAGAUGUGAAAGCCCCGGGCUCAACCUGGGAAUGGCAUUUGAUACUCUGAGGCUGGAGUACGGGAGAGGAGAGUGGAAUUCCCAGUGUAGAGGUGAAAUUCGUAGAUAUUGGGAAGAACACCGGUGGCGAAGGCGGCUCUCUGGACCGUAACUGACGCUCAGGCGCGACAGCGUGGGGAUCAAACAGG